UUGAACGCUGGCGGCAUGCUUUACACCUGCAAGUCGAACGGUAACAGCACUUCGGUGGCUGACGAGUGGCGAACGGGUGAGUAAUACAUCGGAACGUGCCUAGUAGUGGGGGAUAACUACUCGAAAGAGUAGCUAAUACCGCAUGAGAUCUAAGGAUGAAAGCAGGGGACCUUCGGGCCUUGCGCUACUAGAGCGGCUGAUGGCAGAUUAGGUAGUUGGUGGGAUAAAAGCUUACCAAGCCGACGAUCUGUAGCUGGUCUGAGAGGACGACCAGCCACACUGGGACUGAGACACGGCCCAGACUCCUACGGGAGGCAGCAGUGGGGAAUUUUGGACAAUGGGCGCAAGCCUGAUCCAGCAAUGCCGCGUGCAGGAUGAAGGCCUUCGGGUUGUAAACUGCUUUUGUACGGAACGAAAAGCCCUCUUCUAAUACAGGAGGGUCAUGACGGUACCGUAAGAAUAAGCACCGGCUAACUACGUG
rnacentral:rRNA from 1 species